rnacentral:rRNA from 1 species
AUUGAACGCUGGCGGCAGGCCUAACACAUGCAAGUCGAGCGGAUGAAGGGAGCUUGCUCCUUGAUUCAGCGGCGGACGGGUGAGUAAUGCCUAGGAAUCUGCCUAGUAGUGGGGGACAACGUUUCGAAAGGAACGCUAAUACCGCAUACGUCCUACGGGAGAAAGUGGGGGCUCUUCGGACCUCACGCUAUUAGAUGAGCCUAGGUCGGAUUAGCUAGGUGGUAGGGUAAAGGCCUACCAAGGCGACGAUCCGUAACUGGUCUGAGAGGAUGAUCAGUCACACUGGAACUGAGACACGGUCCAGACUCCUACGGGAGGCAGCAGUGGGGAAUAUUGGACAAUGGGCGCAAGCCUGAUCCAGCCAUGCCGCGUGUGUGAAGAAGGCCUUCGGGUCGUAAAGCACUUUAAGUUGGGAGGAAGGGCUUACGGUUAAUACCUGUGAGUUUUGACGUUACCAACAGAAUAAGCACCGGCUAACUACGUGCCAGCAGCCGCCGUAA